GGCUGGGGGGGUUGCUUUGAAGAAGUUUGGGGGAAAAAAGUUUGGAAAAGUUUCUAUAAUAACGAGGGGGCGUCCGGAGGGAGGAGGCAGCGGCGGAGGAGGGGGCGUCUCAAAGAAGGGGAGGGAGGGAGCCACGGGUGAGGAUACGGCAGCCUCCUGAGCUCCCCCCUCCCACCCAGACCGGGACCUGGGGGCUCUGGCCGGCUCCAUGGGGGCCGCAAGCUGCGAGGAUGAGGAGCUGGAAUUUAAGCUGGUGUUCGGGGAGGAAAAGGAGACCCCCCCGCUGGGCGCGGGGGGGUCGGGGGAAGAACUGGACUCAGAGGACGCCCCGCCAUGCUGCCGUCUGGCCCUGGGGGAGCCCCCUCCCUAUGGCGCUGCCCCUAUUGGCAUUCCCCGGCCUCCACCCCCUCGGCCUGGCAUGCAUUCGCCACCACCCCGCCCAGCCCCCUCACCUGGCACUUGGGAGAGCCAGCCCGCCCGGUCAGUGAGGCUGGGGGGCCCGGGAGGGGCUUCCGGGGGGACUGGGGGAGGUCGUGUUCUUGAAUGCCCCAGCAUCCGCAUCACUUCCAUCUCUCCCACCCCUGAUCCGCCGGCCACGCUGGAGGACAACCCCGAUGCCUGGGGGGACGGCUCCCCCAGGGAUUACCCACCACCAGAAGGCUUUGGGGGCUACCGAGAGACGGGGGGCCAGGGCGGGGGUCCCUUCUUCAGCCCCAGCCCUGGCAGCAGCAGCCUGUCCUCGUGGAGCUUCUUCUCCGACGCUUCAGAUGAGGCAGCCCUGUACGCAGCCUGCGAUGAGGUGGAGUCCGAGCUGAAUGAGGCAGCCUCGCGCUUUGGCCUGGGCUCCCCCUUGCCCUCGCCCCGGGCCUCCCCCAGGCCGUGGACCCCCGACGAUCCCUGGAACCUGUAUGGUCCGAGCCCUGGAGGCCGGGGGCCAGAGGAUAGCUGGCUACUCCUCAGCGCUCCUGGGCCCACCCCAGCCUCCCCACGGCCAGCCUCUCCAUGUGGCAAGCGGCGCUAUUCCAGCUCGGGAACCCCAUCUUCGGCCUCCCCAGCUCUGUCCCGCCGCGGGAGCCUGGGGGAGGAGGGCCCCGAGCCACCUCCACCACCACCAUUGCCUCUGGCCCGGGACCCUGGCUCCCCUGGCCCUUUUGACUACGUGGGAGCCCCGCCGGCGGAGAGCAUCCCUCAGAAGACCCGGCGGACUUCAAGCGAGCAGGCGGUGGCCCUGCCUCGGUCUGAGGAGCCUGCCCCAUGCAAUGGGAAGCUGCAGUCAGGGGCUGAGGAGACUGCGGCGCCCCCCGGAGGGCCUCGAAAGGAGGUGGCCGGCAUGGACUAUCUGGCAGUGCCUUCCCCCCUGGCUUGGUCCAAGGCCCGGAUUGGGGGACACAGCCCCAUCUUCAGGACCUCCGCCCUACCCCCGCUGGACUGGCCGCUGCCCAGCCAGUAUGAGCAGCUGGAGCUGAGGAUCGAGGUGCAGCCCAGAGCCCACCACCGGGCCCACUAUGAAACUGAGGGCAGUCGAGGAGCUGUCAAAGCUGCCCCUGGUGGUCACCCUGUAGUCAAGCUCCUGGGCUACAGUGAGAAGCCACUGACCCUACAGAUGUUCAUUGGCACUGCAGAUGAACGGAACCUACGGCCUCAUGCCUUCUAUCAGGUGCACCGUAUCACGGGCAAGAUGGUGGCCACAGCUAGCUAUGAAGCUGUCGUCAGUGGUACCAAAGUGUUGGAGAUGACCCUGCUUCCUGAGAACAACAUGGCAGCCAACAUUGACUGUGCUGGAAUCCUGAAGCUCCGGAAUUCAGACAUCGAACUACGGAAGGGGGAGACAGACAUCGGGCGCAAGAACACGCGAGUGCGGCUCGUAUUCCGGGUGCACGUGCCCCAGGGCAGUGGGAAGGUCAUCUCAGUGCAGACAGCAUCAGUGCCCAUUGAGUGCUCCCAGCGCUCAGCCCAGGAGCUGCCUCAGGUAGAGGCCUACAGCCCCAGUGCCUGCUCCGUGAGAGGAGGAGAAGAAUUAGUGCUCACUGGCUCCAACUUCCUGCCAGACUCCAAGGUGGUGUUCAUCGAGAGGGGCCCUGAUGGAAAGCUGCAGUGGGAGGAGGAGGCCACAGUGAACCGGCUGCAGAGCAACGAGGUGACGCUGACCCUGACUGUCCCUGAGUACAGCAACAAGCGGGUGUCCCGGCCAGUCCAGGUCUACUUUUAUGUCUCCAAUGGGCGGAGAAAGCGCAGUCCUACCCAGACUUUCAAGUUUCUGCCUGUGAUCUUCAAGGAGGAGCCCUUACCGGACUCAUCUCUCCGCGGCUUCCCUUCAGCACCUGGCCCCCCCUUUGGCACUGACAUGGACUUCUCACCACCCAGGCCCCCUUACCCCUCCUAUCCCCACGAAGACCCUGCUUAUGAAACUCCUUACCUGUCAGAAGGCUUCAGCUAUGGCACACUCCCUCUCUACCCCCAGACGGGGCCCCCACCAUCCUACAGACCUGGCCUGCGGAUGUUCCCUGAGACCGGGGGUGCCACAGGUUGUGCCCGCCCCCCUCCAGUCUCCUUCCUUCCCCGGCCCUUCCCCAGUGGCCCCUAUGGAGGACGGGGCUCCCCAUUUCCCUUGGGGCUGCCAUUCCCUCCUCCAGCCCCCUUUCGGCCUCCACUGCCUUCAUCCCCACCGCUUGAAGGCCCCUUCCCUCCCCAGAGUGGCAUUCCCCCCACACCAACUGAGGGAUACAAUGAGGUAGGGCCCAGCUAUGGCCCUGGGGAGGGGGCUCCGGAGCAGGAGAAAUCCAGGGGUGGCUACGGCAGCGGCUUCCGAGACAGUGUCCCUAUCCAGGGUAUCACGCUGGAGGAAGGUGGGUGUGCGCCUGGGGGCUGUGAGUGUGAGUGUGUGUAAGAGGUUGCUCUGCAUGUUUGCUGAGGGCUGGAGUUUGGCUUCCGUGAUUGGGCAUCCUUGGUCCCUUAGGGCCAGUCAGAGGAUCUCAGGAGGCACAUGCUUGGUGCAUGUGACCACCUGAAUCCAGUUCCACUUAGUUCCAAAGGGUGCAUGGAGUACCGGCCCCAGCCCUUCUGCCUUGGUUCUCUGCCCCAGAUCAGUCUCAGGGCUAGAAGCACUUUAAAAGUCAUGCAGCCUAGCUUCCUCCAUCUGCGGACUCAGGCACUGUAUUUCAGAGAGGGAUAGGGGCUCUCAGAGGUCCCGCCGGAACAUAUUGCCUCAGCUUUCCCCUCCACAUGGUGACUGUGGUCAGGGUUGGUGGUGACAAGCCUUGGUAUUUUGCAUCUCCUUCCUCCCACUGGCCACCCCCACCCGCAGCACUGCUGACUGCACUUGCCCUGACAUUGCAGGCCAAGCCAGCAGGACAGGGCUGGGAUAGGGGCCUGGGAGCCCACAUGGAUGGAACUGAGCGAGAUUGGAUUGGGACCAGUGAGUGAAAUCAUUGGCCGAGACCUGAGUGGCUUCCCUGCACCUCCCGGAGAAGAGCCUCCUGCCUGAAGCAUCGCCUGGCAAACCCCAGCCCUACCCAGCCUCGCCCACUUUCCCUUCAUCCCGGGUUGGUGGUUUCAGAAGCUUGGGCCGACCUGGCUCCUCUUUCUCCAGCUUGAUAUGCUUCCUCUCCCCUGCCCCUCGCUGAGGUGUGGCCCUUGGGCCUGGUGCUGCCUUGGAGGGCUAAGAUGGGAGUGGGGCCCGAGGCCAGGAGUGAGGACAGACCGGAGUGAAGGCUGUGUCUCGUUGUGUACAAGCCAUGGUGCUGGGAGGCUGGGGACAAAUUGAUGGAUAAUAAACUGCUCACUGACUAGUG